UCUCUUUCCGGAUGUCCCUUUGAGACGGCAGUAGGAACGGGUACCUGUGUUUGAAUAUCUGAAUAUUAACGUGGAUGUUAAAUAAUUCAACCAUUAUUUCCUCUGAGAAUGUUCAUGCAUUAGGAUAGUCCUGACUCGACUCUGGAUCAGUGAUGAGAUUUUGUAGUGUGCAUUUGUAAUGCCCACUGGAAGGAUCAGGGAUACAGAAACUUGACUUCAUCUAAGUCCCCAUUGACAAUCAAAUUCUGAAUUUUCUUCUCCAGUAUGACAGAAGCUUUUAAAAUUUGUGGCCUUUAAUGUGUUUAGCCAGAGCCAGUUUUCCCUUUGGACAAAAAUGCUUCCUGUCCCUAGCCUGGCUACAGCAGUCAGUGUAUAUAACUCAAGAUACCAUGUCAGAAGCAUUUGGUAACCUUCCUUUAAAUAAAUCUGUCACUACUGAGUGCUGUUUAAAUAGCUGGAUUUUCUGCUCUUGGAGCUCUCAAGGCACUUAAAUACUCUGUAGAUGCCUGUUGAAUAACACUGGUCUACAGAUUUUGGGAAAUUACUGACCACUGAGAUCAAAUGUGCUAAUUCUUACAUGUUUUGAUUAAAUGAAUUGGAAAACAGGUGAUUAAGGUGCUGGUUGGCUAAAGUUUUCAAGAUUUUUCACAAUAAAAACUUCUGCACAGGUGAGUUUAUUUGCCUGCAAGGGAAGAUGUCUGAUCAUGAUGCCUUGUAACCUAAUUUAUUCUUUUAUUGCAAGGUACAUUUGUUUUGGUCAGGUCUACAGAUCAUACAGUUAUAUCUGGUGGCUUGUUAAAGUAUCAUUGCCUAACUUUUCCAAGGAACAUUUGCAUGAUCCUUUCCCUCAGAAGCCAAGAUGCCUCAAAACUCUGUAAACAAUGCAGAUAAUUUCUGCUACAUUGUGGUGAGGUUAUAUUUGCAUCUCAAAAGUGCAGUAUGACAGCAGUGGUAAAGGCAUACUACCUAUAUUUUGGGUGCAAAAUAGGGGAUCAGGACAAGAGUUGGGCCCCUCAUUGUUGCAUUAAAUGUGCAACUUGAUCUGUGUAUUAUCAACUUACCUACAAGAAACAAAAAUCGGCCUUUUGCAGUCCGAAUGGUGUGGAGGGAACCCACUAAUAGUAGCAACUGCUAUUUUUGCAUGGUUCCCCCAGUUGCAAAAGGGAUCUCAAGAAAAGUGAAUCAUAGAAUAUCCAAACAUUCCCUCUGCACUGCUUCCUGUACCCCAUGGUGAGGGCUUUGCAAUUCCACAUCCACCAGAAUCCUACUCUAGACUCAGACAAUGAACGGGAUGCAGCUGAUCCGGGACCAUCGAUGUCAGCAGACCCAAACUUUAGCCCACCAAAUGCUCCUCAACCACAUCUGAUUUCACAGAGUGAACUAAAUGACCUGGUCAGGGAUUUGGAAUUGCCUAAGAGUAAGGCAGAGCUGCUGGGCUCCACAUUACAACAGUGGAACCUCUUGCAGAGCGAUGUCAGGAUCUCCAUUUUCCAUGAUAGCCAAAAAGAUCUGGUUCAGUAUUUCUCAGUGGAAGGUGAUUUGGUUUAUUAUAUCAAUGGCUUAAUGACAGCCCUGAUGGAAAGUUGUUACUGGUAUCAAUAAAAAUAUAUAAUGAUUGGUGUGGCACCAUUUUCAUUUCUCUAUCACUUCGCAGAAAAGUUAUGGAGCAUAAUCACACAUUCCCCCUUUGUAAUUUUGUAUUAUGUUGAUACCAUUUUGACCUGAAGCUGUAUCUUAGAAACGAGCCAAUUAAUACUUGGGACUUAAUUGUUCUUUAUUAGUAACCCAAUUCUGGUAAAAUGUAACUACUUUCAUUUCUGAGGCUUUCUCCUUGUAGACAAGUAUAAUUUGUGCAAAUGAUCACCCAUGUGUUGGCUUCCUGUGACUGUAGAUAAUUGCCUUAUACUGUGGCUUCAGCAUAUUAAAGUACAACUGAAGAAA